UACGUGCGAGAUGGUUGGAAUCCUUAAAAUCAGGGGCAAAGAGAUCGCGUCCGGAUUGCACCGAAACAGAGAUAAAUAAACCGGCCACGAUAAAUGAUGAGUCACCACUAAGAAUGGACGAAACAUAUUGCGAAGAAUCAACUGCGUUUGUGGAGCCAGAAGAUACGCAUUCCACUAAUACAAGCAUACGUGUGUGUCCCAUAAUAAAUUGGCCUGAACUGACUAUUGUGCUAGCGAAAUGAAACUAUUCUUACUUUUUAAUAUAGUAAUUUUUAAUGUACAACAACUUAAAA